CCCCUCGGUCACCAGCGCCCUCCGGAGCAGCCUCGUCCUGAACCUCUAGCGGGGAGCCGGCACGCAUUGGCUAUUUUAGUUAGCCACACACACCGGAGAGAAGAGACGGUGCAUCCCAACUUCCGAGUCGAAAAGCGUCCCGUGUCCGUGCAAAGUCGCUGUUACCCAUCUGUGGAUAUUAUGCGGGGAAAUGGAAAGAAAAAAAACACGGCUUCCUAUUCAUUGUCUGUCGUCAUCGCUGCCUUCACACCCUCCAGCGCUGGGGAGCGGGCAGCUCUGAGUAAUUCCCCAGACACUGCCCAGAGCCUUCCACCCGAGGAGUCAGCCUCUUAGGACUCUCCAGUUACCCAAACCCGCUUCCUUCCAGGUUCCUCUCCUGCAGAUGAUCCUACAUUAUUGCACACUGCAGAUUUCUGAUGUCUUUAGGAACGUGAAAUGAGCCAUCGGAACCUGAGGAAUUUACGAUCAUCCAUGCAGGGUGACCUGAAGCCUGGAGAUCCACAAAACCGGAGGCAGUGUGUGAAAAUUCGUUUUCACUCCCACAAGGCAAGCCCUGCAUCGUGUUCCUCUCUGCUCACAAGCUCCCCAGCCAUUCCAGCUGCUGGGAACACCACAGCAGGUCUUUCAGAUGAGAAACGUAAUUUCUGUUCUGAAAAAGAUGGGGCAUCUUUGGAGAAGAGAAAACCACAGAGACGGGUUGUUCAUGUGUGUGAGGAGGGCUGCGGGGACCCUGAGAGGUGAGUGCUGGGACUUGGUGGGUUUUUCCGGGACCACACAGCCCAGGUAGGAAGAGAUAAACAGGCAUGGCUACUCCACAGGAAUGGCCUGGAGCAGCACUCUCUCUCUCUCUCUCUCUCUCUCUCUCUCUCUCUCUCUCUCUCUCUCUGUCCUAUAGACUAGGUAAGGAUUUUCAGAAAGGAUUACCUACAUUGCUGUUUUGUAACAUGAUCUACCCCUCCUCCUUCCUGUUAGUAAAUUUCAUGAGGAUUUGGAGGGAGAAAAUAACUAACUCAUAUGUGUGCUUUUUCGCCCUUCCCUUCUUUUCCUUUUCUUUUCUUUCCUUUUUUUUUCUCAUUUCCCCCCUGUCUAUGGGAAGGUUUUUAAAUAAGCAUAACAUUUAAAAAACAUAAAUGGGGUGGGG